GAACCCCCACCAAAUUUUACUGUGGGUAGCAAGUGUUUUUCUUGGAACGCUGUGUUCUUUUGCCGCCAUGCAUAACGUCCCUUGUUAUGACCAAAUAACUCAAUCUUUGUUUCAUCAGUCCACAGCAACUUAUUCCAAAAUGAAGCUGGCUUUUCCAAAUGUGCGUUUGCAUACCUCAAGCGACUCUGUUUGUGGCGUGUGUGCAGAAAAGGCUUCUUCCGCAUCACUCUCCCAUACAGCUUCUCCUUGUGCAAAGUGCGCUGAAUUGUUGAACGUUGCACAGUGACACCAUCUGCAGCAAGAUGUUGUAGGUCUUUGGAGGUGGUCUGUGGGCUGUUUUUGACCGUUCUCACCAUCCUUUGCCUUUGCCUCUCUGAUAUUUUACUUGGCCUGCCACUUCUGGCCUUAACAAGAACUGUGCCUGUGGUCUUCCAUUUCCUCACUAUGUUCCUCACAGUGGACACUGACAGCUUACAUCUCUGCGAUAGCUUUUUGUAGCCUUCCUCUAAACCGGGGGUCGGCAACCCGCGGCUCUUUAGCACCGCCCUAGUGGCUCCCUGGAGCUUUUUCAAUAAUAUGAAAAUGGAAAAAGAUGGUGUGAAUAUUUUUUGGUUUUAAUAUAAUUUAUUAUCCAAUGCUGUAAAAAUGUGUAUAAUAAAUAUUUAAUUUCAACAUUUCUGUCAACGAAGAUUUACGUCGUAGCCUGCGACACACGUUUCUUUCAGCUCGGCGUAGUGCCAGACAGGUGGCUGUUGCAAACAAACCGGCGGGUGUGUCAUGGGCCAUGGAUCCCAAAGGGAAAAAGAGAAAGAUGGCUGAGGAGAACAGAGGAUUCCACAGUUCUUGGACCGAAUCAUUUGCUUUCAUUGCCAAUGCGGAAGGAUUGCCUGCAUGUUUGCUUUGUAAUGAGAAGUUGUCAAAUAACAAAAAGAGUAACGUGGAAAGACAUUUCCAUUCUUCCUGACAGUUAUAGGAACAUGAAGAAAUAUGCAUUUGGAGUAUUAUCCAUCUUUGGAUCAACAUACCUAUGCGAGCAGAUAUUCUCAAACAUGAACUACAUAAAAUCCAAAUACCGCACCCGCCUCACAGAUGAGAGCUUGCAGUCCUGCGUGAAGAUUAAAGUUACAUCUUACAUGCCCGAUGUUGAGAAGCUGUCCAGUGAUGUCCGAAAACAGAAGUCACAUUAAACGGGUCUGAGGAUGGCUGCAUUGUAUUGUGCGUGUCAAAAGAGAAGAGGGUGCUGCUGCAUUUUACCCUUGCACAUUUGCAGAAAACUAAAGAGAAGAGGAUAAUGCACAGAAAUCGAACUUAAACUGUAUUAUUUUAAUUUGAUAUACUUUACCUUUUCAAAAGGCUGCUGUUUCAUUGCACUCUGUCUGUUGCCCAGAUAAGGGGGAAAGAGAAGAGGAUUGUUUGGUAUUAUUGAGGAUUGAAAUGCAUUUUAUUUCCAUGGGGAGGUCUGAAAUUACAGGAGGCUAUUAUGCACGUUGCACAUUUUGUUGUUUUUUUCAAAUCCUAAAAUAAAAAUGACAUCAAUCUGA